AAUGGGGGAAACCCUGAUGCAGCGAUGCCGCGUGAGUGAAGAAGGCCUUUGGGUUGUAAAACUCUUUCGUCGGGGAAGAAAAUGACUGUACCCGAAUAAGAAGGUCCGGCUAACUUCGUGCCAGCAGCCGCGGUAAUACGAAGGGACCUAGCGUAGUUCGGAAUUACUGGGCUUAAAGAGCUCGUAGGUGGUUAAAAAAGUUGAUGGUGAAAUCCCAAGGCUCAACCUUGGAACUGCCAUCAAAACUUUUUAGCUAGAGUGUGAUAGAGGUAAGUGGAAUUUCUAGUGUAGAGGUGAAAUUCGUAGAUAUUAGAAAGAAUACCAAUUGCAAAGGCAGCUUUCUGGAUCAUUACUGACACUGAGGAACGAAAGCAUGGGUAGCGAAGAGGAUU
rnacentral:rRNA from 1 species